GGAAGGGUUGCCUAGUGGUUAAGGCACAGGCCUGAGGCUCAGGUGUUCUGGGUUUGAUUCUCUGCUCUGCCA
rnacentral:tRNA from 1 species